UACGUAGGGUGCAAGCGUUAAUCGGAAUUACUGGGCGUAAAGCGUGCGCAGGCGGUUUUGUAAGUCUGUCGUGAAAUCCCCGGGCUCAACCUGGGAAUUGCGAUGGAGACUGCAAGGCUAGAAUCUGGCAGAGGGGGGUAGAAUUCCACGUGUAGCAGUGAAAUGCGUAGAGAUGUGGAGGAACACCGAUGGCGAAGGCAACCCCCUGGGUCAAGAUUGACGCUCAUGCACGAAAGCGUGGGGAGCAAACAGG
rnacentral:rRNA from 1 species